AAUGUAAUAUUGUAAAAGCAAGUUAAAAAUAAAAAAAAAAUAAUGGCAUAAGUGUCAAUAUGUAGUAGCAGGGACGUUUUGAGGUGUUUUUAAAAAUACAGGGACUAAAUGGACACUAACCUCAUAAUAUAGGGACUAAACAAGCUUUUACCCCUUAUAUUAUUAUCGCACUGUUCUGAAUUUGAUCAUCUGCACCAUUUCUCUUACUUCAAACUCCUUAACACACCCACUCAUUGUAUUGUUUGUUUUCUCCGCAAACUCUUUGAACAUUUCAACAAGUCAUUGAUUUAUUUGUAAUCUAUUUGUGAUUCUUCUUCAAUCGUCAUUUAUCAAUUAUUUUGUUGAAAUAAUAUUUGACCCCCCAUCUUUAGAGAUUCGUUAUUCUCUCUCUUUUUUUUGAAAAAAAUCAAUUAUUUUAAAUUAAAAUAUAAAUACAUUUACUUUAAAUCAACAAUUAGCAUUAUAAGAUUUUAUCACCUUGGAAAUUUGUUUAUGUGGAGGGUUGAUAAAUAAGACU
rnacentral:lncRNA from 1 species